rnacentral:piRNA from 1 species
UGUGAAUCUUGCUUCCUCAUUGGGG